rnacentral:rRNA from 1 species
AGCUGAUCACUGGGCAUAAAGCGUGCGCAGGCGGUUUUGUAAGACAGAGGUGAAAUCCCCGGGCUCAACCUGGGAACUGCCUUUGUGACUGCAAGGCUGGAGUGCGGCAGAGGGGGAUGGAAUUCCGCGUGUAGCAGUGAAAUGCGUAGAUAUGCGAAGGAACACCGAUGGCGAAGGCAAUCCCCUGGGCCUGCACUGACGCUCAUGCACGAAAGCGUGGGGAGCAAACA